GAUGAACGCUAGCGGCAGGCUUAAUACAUGCAAGUCGUGGGGCAGCGCGAUGUAGCAAUACAUUGGCGGCGACCGGCAAACGGGUGCGGAACACGUACAUAACCUUCCUUUAAGUGAGGAAUAGCCCGAGGAAACUCGGAUUAAUACCUCGUAACAUCUUUAUAUGGCAUCAUGUGAAGAUUAUAGCUCCGGCGCUUAAUGAUGGGUGUGCGUCUGAUUAGGUAGUUGGUGAGGUAAUGGCUCACCAAGCCUACGAUCAGUAACUGGUGUGAGAGCACGACCAGUCACACGGGCACUGAGACACGGGCCCGACUCCUACGGGAGGCAGCAGUAAGGAAUAUUGGUCAAUGGACGCAAGUCUGAACCAGCCAUGCCGCGUGAAGGAUGAAGGUCUUCUGGAUUGUAAACUUCUUUUAUUUGGGAAGAAAUCUAUAAUUUUUAUUGUAGUUGACGGUACCAGAUGAAUAAGCACCGGCUAACUCCGUG
rnacentral:rRNA from 1 species